GACGAACGCUGGCGGCGUGCCUAAUACAUGCAAGUAGAACGCUGAAGGAGGAGCUUGCUUCUUCGGAUGAGUUGCGAACGGGUGAGUAACGCGUAGGUAACCUGCCUGGUAGCGGGGGAUAACUAUUGGAAACGAUAGCUAAUACCGCAUAACAGUAGAUGUUGCAUGACAUUUGCUUAAAAGGUGCAAUUGCAUCACUACCAGAUGGACCUGCGUUGUAUUAGCUAGUUGGUGGGGUAACGGCUCACCAAGGCGACGAUACAUAGCCGACCUGAGAGGGUGAUCGGCCACACUGGGACUGAGACACGGCCCAGACUCCUACGGGAGGCAGCAGUAGGGAAUCUUCGGCAAUGGACGGAAGUCUGACCGAGCAACGCCGCGUGAGUGAAGAAGGUUUUCGGAUCGUAAAGCUCUGUUGUAAGAGAAGAACGAGUGCGAGAGUGGAAAGUUUACACUGUGACGGUAUCUUACCAGAAAGGGACGGCUAACUACGUGCCAGCAGCCGCGGUAAUACGUAGGUCUCGAGCGUUGUCCGGAUUUAUUGGGCGUAAAGCGAGCGCAGGCGGUUAGAUAAGUCUGAAGUUAAAGGCUGUGGCUUAACCAUAGUACGCUUUGGAAACUGUUUAACUUGAGUGCAAGAGGGGAGAGUGGAAUUCCAUGUGUAGCGGUGAAAUGCGUAGAUAUAUGGAGGAACACCGGUGGCGAAAGCGGCUCUCUGGCUUGUAACUGACGCUGAGGCUCGAAAGCGUGGGGAGCAAACAGG
rnacentral:rRNA from 1 species